rnacentral:rRNA from 1 species
UACGUAGGGGGCAAGCGUUGUCCGGAUUUAUUGGGCGUAAAGAGCGUGUAGGCGGCUAUGCAGGUCCGCUGUGAAAACUCGAGGCUCAACCUCGAGACGUCGGUGGAAACCGCAUGGCUAGAGUCCGGAAGAGGAGAGUGGAAUUCCCGGUGUAGCGGUGAAAUGCGCAGAUAUCGGGAAGAACACCCGUGGCGAAGGCGGCUCUCUGGGACGGUACUGACACUGAGACGCGAAAGCGUGGGGAGCGAACAGG